GGCACUUCUUCAUGCUGCCUUGCGAAGAAGCUGGCUUGCUUCCUCUUUGUCUUCCGCCAUGAUUGUAGAUUUCCUGAGGCCUCCCAAGCUGUGCUGAACUACCAAACCAAUGCAGACCAAACCAAUGCAGAACUCCUAUGUGCUGAUGGUGGUCUUACAUUUCCCUAAGUUUCUGCCGACUAAACUGUGCACACGUUCUCAGGACCUCCUGAAGCUGCGUCACAGGCACUAAUCAAAGAACACAACCAAGAGUUUGGCCUUUUCUUCAGCACUGGGAAUUGUGAUCCAAAGCUUUUCCUGAUGAAGCACAAAGUUGGAGAAAAAAAACGCAAACUAAACAACAACAAUGAAACAGAACAGAGUGAAUCUGCUGUAGCUCAAGAGAGGACGUAGCUGCCCCCACUCCGCAUCCCCGGGCUCGGGUUUGCCUUGCUGACCUCUGCUGCCACCUGGUGCCGCACAGAGAAACUGAGGAGAAACCACAUCAGUCUCCUUCAGCCUCAGCUUCACAUCUGUGGGUCAAGUAACCCUUUCAGAAGCUGAAUAAUGUGGGAAAGCUUUCCUCUCAGGAAAAUGCACACAUCCAACUUUGAGAAGAUGCCCUUGGGGGCGCUUCAAGGAUUCUAGAUAAUAACCCCCUUUCCCGAACAUCCAAGAACCUAAGAUUUUUUUUUUUUUUUUGAGAAAGUCUCGCUCUCUCUCCCAGUCUGGAGUGCAGUGGCGUGAUCUUGGCUCACUGCCAGCUCCACCUCCCAGGUUCACGCCAUUCUCCUGCUUCAGCCUCCCUAGUAGCUGGGGCUACAGGCACCUGCCACCAAACCCGGCUAAUUUUUUUGUAUUUUUAGUAGAGACGGGGUUUCACCGUGUUAGCCAGGAUCGUCUUGAUCUCCUGACCUUGUGAUCCACCCGCCUCGGCCUCCCAAAUUGCUGGGAUUACAGAUGUGAGCCACCGCACCUGGUCCAAGAGCCCAAGUUUUAGAUCUAGAGUGAUGUCAGCAUGACAUUGAUUUCCUGAGGCCCAGGGGCGAAGGAGCUGAGGACAGCAGAGGGGUGAAGGAACUCAGCUACAGACAGCAGCAGCUGAUGCACAGGCCUCCCAGCGCCUGAAGUCACCCGGAAUUGGGAAGUGCUCAGAAGCUUACAAAGCUGCCUCGAGGAACAGUAAGAGGACCUUGUGCAUGAAUAAUUUGUUUCCACACUGCAGAGUGGGUAAUAAGCAGAUUAGUAAAAACAAUUCUGCUUCACUUCAAUAACAGCCUCCUCCAACUCAUUUUUUCUCAACAAACUUAUUUUUGCAGCAGAAGAAUCCCAGACUUCUUAGAGAACCCAGUGACUUUUUGCACCUUAAAUCUGUGAAAUCCUCAUGCUUUCUUCUGCCGUAUCCAUCGUUCAAACAAACAUGAGGCAAAGCUAGACACAUUCCUGAAGGAACCCAAGAAAUUCCUCUCUUUCUCUCUCUGGAAUGAAAUGAAUUCUCUAGACCACCAGUUCUAACCUUCAAAAACGAAACCUGUUUGUGAGAUCUCCUUCAAAUACUACUGUAGACCCCAGUGUUUAUUCAUUAAAUUUUUUAAACAUUUGUUUUAUUUGGAAUCAAAGUAUUUGUAAUUUUAGUAUUUGUAUUAAUAUAAGGGAGAAAUGUUUAAAUCUGUCUAUGCCACAUGUGCCUUCGGCUUAUUGCCCAAUUAAUUGUAGCCUCAGGCUAAACUUUGGUUUCUGUCUUUAAUUUUUGUCGGAAGAAAUAUAACUGGUCUCAAAACAUCU
ensembl:lncRNA FAM157C family with sequence similarity 157 member C